UACGUAGGGGGCGAGCGUUGUCCGGAGUUACUGGGCGUAAAGCGCACGCAGGCGGUCUGUUAAGUUUGGAGUGACAGUUGGUGGCUCAACCACCAAAGUGCUUUGAAAACUGGUAGACUUGAGGGCUUCAGAGGGACACGGAAUUCCGGGUGGAGUGGUGAAAUGCGUAGAGAUCCGGAGGAACACCAAAGGCGAAGGCAGUGUCCUGGGGAGUACCUGACGCUCAGGUGCGAAAGCCAGGGGAGCGAACGGG
rnacentral:rRNA from 1 species